AUUGAACGCUGGCGGCAUGCUUUACACAUGCAAGUCGAACGGUAACAGCACUUCGGUGGCUGACGAGUGGCGAACGGGUGAGUAAUACAUCGGAACGUGCCUAGUAGUGGGGGAUAACUACUCGAAAGAGUAGCUAAUACCGCAUGAGAUCUAAGGAUGAAAGCAGGGGACCUUCGGGCCUUGCGCUACUAGAGCGGCUGAUGGCAGAUUAGGUAGUUGGUGGGAUAAAAGCUUACCAAGCCGACGAUCUGUAGCUGGUCUGAGAGGACGACCAGCCACACUGGGACUGAGACACGGCCCAGACUCCUACGGGAGGCAGCAGUGGGGAAUUUUGGAAAAUGGGCGAAAGCCUGAUCCAGCAAUGCCGCGUGCAGGAUGAAGGCCUUCGGGUUGUAAACUGCUUUUGUACGGAACGAAAAGACCUCUUCUAAUACAGGAGGGUCAUGACGGUAACGUAAGAAUAAGCACCGGCUAACUACGUG
rnacentral:rRNA from 1 species